rnacentral:rRNA from 2 species
AGAGUUUGAUCUUGGCUCAGAUUGAACGCUGGUGGCAUGCUUAACACAUGCAAGUCGAACGGUAACAGGUCUUCGGAUGCUGACGAGUGGCGGACGGGUGAGUAACGCGUAGGAAUCUGCCCAUCUGUGGGGGAUACCAGUUGGAAACGACUGUUAAUACCGCAUAAUAUCUGCGGAUUAAAGGUGGCCUUUGCGCUGCCGCAGAUGGAUGAGCCUGCGUUGGAUUAGCUAGUUGGUGGGGUAAGGGCCUACCAAGGCUACGAUCCAUAGCUGAUUUGAGAGGAUGAUCAGCCACAUUGGGACUGAGACACGGCCCAAACUCCUACGGGAGGCAGCAGUGGGGAAUAUUGGACAAUGGGGGAAACCCUGAUCCAGCAAUGCCAUGUGUGUGAAGAAGGCUCUAGGGUUGUAAAGCACUUUAGUUGGGGAGGAAAGCCUGUGAGUUAAUAGCUUGCAGGAAGGACGUUGCCCAAAGAAUAAGGACCGGCUAACUCCGUGCCAGCAGCCGCGGUAAUACGGGGGGUCCGAGCGUUAAUCGGAAUUACUGGGCGUAAAGGGUCUGUAGGUGGUUUGUUAAGUCAGAUGUGAAAGCCCAGGGCUCAACCUUGGAACUGCAUUUGAUACUGACAAACUAGAGUAUGGUAGAGGAAUAGGGAACUUCUGGUGUAGCGGUGAAAUGCGUAGAGAUCAGAAGGAACACCAAUGGCGAAGGCAACAUUCUGGACCAAUACUGACACUGAGGGACGAAAGCGUGGGGAUCAAACAGGAUUAGAUACCCUGGUAGUCCACGCUGUAAACGAUGAGUACUAGCUGUUGGAUUCGGUGUAAAGGAUCUAGUGGCGCAGCUAACGCGUUAAGUACUCCGCCUGGGGACUACGGCCGCAAGGCUAAAACUCAAAGGAAUUGACGGGGACCCGCACAAGCGGUGGAGCAUGUGGUUUAAUUCGAUGCAACGCGAAGAACCUUACCUGGUCUUGACAUCCUGCGAACUUUCUAGAGAUAGAUUGGUGCCUUCGGGAACGCAGUGACAGGUGCUGCACGGCUGUCGUCAGCUCGUGUUGUGAAAUGUUGGGUUAAGUCCCGCAACGAGCGCAACCCCUAUUGAUAGUUACCAUCAUUAAGUUGGGUACUCUAUUGAGACUGCCGCUGACAAGGCGGAGGAAGGUGGGGACGACGUCAAGUCAUCAUGGCCCUUACGACCAGGGCUACACACGUGCUACAAUGGGUAUUACAGAGGGCUGCGAAGGUGCGAGCUGGAGCGAAACUCAGAAAGGUACUCUUAGUCCGGAUUGCAGUCUGCAACUCGACUGCAUGAAGUCGGAAUCGCUAGUAAUCGCAGGUCAGAAUACUGCGGUGAAUACGUUCCCGGGUCUUGUACACACCGCCCGUCACACCAUGGGAGUGGGUUGCUCCAGAAGUAGAUAGCUUAACGAAUGGGCGUUUACCACGGAGUGAUUCAUAACUGGGGUGAAGUCGUAACAAGGUAGCCGUAGGGGAACCUGCGGCUGGAUCACCUCCUU